rnacentral:lncRNA from 1 species
UACCUCAUGGUGGCAGCGAGAGCAGGUGCCUGGCCCCCAGAGGUGGCAGGGCAGGUGUGUUCCUGCCACGGGUGCUGAGGUGUUGUGGGUGACACCAGCUUUUUCUGCUUGCUGCCUGCUGGGGAUCUCAUUAGCUGCUCCUUGGGACCCAGCCACAGGGAUGGGCCCCUUUCUUUCCCCCCUUCUUCAGGCUCUGAAUGACCCUGGAGUUUUCUUCCUUCUCUUUCCCUUAAUGAGCUGUGCUGCAUGGAGCUAAGUGGGGAACGUGCAGGCACGGAUCUCUUGGCUGAAAGAGUCUAAUUGCUAGAAUAGGAAUGAAAUAGCCAUUAGAGCGUUUGCUGCUAAUUAAUUAUUGUUUGUGGCUGCUCAGAAGUGGAAGGGUACAAUUGUGGUGUAACAGACUAAACAGUGCUCACAGAACUCCUGUUUAUAGCUGGGGGACCUGAAUGCUGAUGAUUACUGGUGGUGUGUUGUGCUGAUAUCCUAAGCUGAGGACCCCCCCCCUGUUUUUUCACGUUUUUGGCAAAGUUUUGUGUUUCGCCACUUGCUUGUUUUAACUAGUCUAAAAUGGCUGGUGUCUCCUUUACCAGUCAAACCGUGCAUGGUAGGAAGUAUCAAAGAACUAGUUAAGCAGUCUUGCAGGUUAAUAAUAUCAUUUUAUAUAUAUAUAGUUACUAAAUACAGGACAUACCUUUUGUCUGGUUUCCUCACUUCUUAAUUUAGAAAAGCUGGAAAGCUGGUGGGGAGAAGAGGAGAAAUCCGCACGUAGAACCAGCGGACUGAUGGCUGACAACAAGUGCUUGUGAUUUACAACGGGGAGCAGCCUCUUCUCCAGCCACCCAGAAGGAGCUGGUGAGCUCUGGCCCUGCAGCUGCCUGGACAACGUGGGAAAGCCCCAACGCUUUGCUCCUCUGCUAUGCAGGUCACCCCAAACCCUGUCUGUGUUACGCCACUUCUGUAUCGUGCCCUGCUCCACAAAGCACUGGUGGAACAGUGGAAGAUGGUAAAUAUAUGCCAAGAUGUGAUGUGUUGCCAAGCAUCAGGAUGAUGUUGAGCCUAUUGGACAAGGACCCAAAUGGACUGCAUGGUGGUUUGAAGCAGGAUUAAAAAACAAAAGUCUGUGCCCCUCUUCUUUGCUAAUUGCCAGGGGAUAUUUGGGGGACUCCACCUAGCCCUGUCUCUGUGAGGAUACAGAGGCUAGGGCAGGAACACUGUCCCUGCGGAGCUGGAGUAAGGUGGAUGCUGUGGUCAUGGUGGUGCCCACCUGUGUGCAUGGGGCUGCCUGGCAGCAAUGGAGUGGUGAUCAGUGGGGUACUAACAUAGUGCAUGGGGAGAGCAGCACCAAACGUGGGGCGGGCUGAGGCUGUGUAUGGUUCCUAGGCUGGGCAGGAACAGUACAGUUACAAGUAAAGUACAUUGUUUAUAAUGUAAAUAUUCUUUUUUUUUAAGGUUUUCCCCAAAGUUCUUCAGUAGUUCUUAUUAGCAAAUAUGACACAUACCAGUCUCCGAAAAGUGGCAGUGAGAGGAGCUAGUGGGAAGAGUACGUAAAUAUGAAUUAUUUAAAAAAACAAAAAACAAACAAAAAACUUUAGAAGUUUAUUCUCUGGCUGUUUCUUGCCAUGGUAUCUGACUAACUAUCAUGUUACCAAAGGAGUGCACAAACCUGCAAGCCUUGCUGUUUGGAGUGUCUUGAUAGGUCUGCUUUUUUUUAUAUUUUAUGGAAAUAGAUACAACUUUGCUAUUAUCAGUCUGAUUCUCUUUUGAAUUUUGAAUUACUUUUUUUUUUUAACUAAUAGUCUGUUUUAUGUAAACCUCUUAGAGAUUAGGAGUUGAUUUCAAAGAUCAUCCUCUAUAAAGUCUCUUGAUCAUAUUUUAUGGUUCCUGUAACUCAUGGGUGUAAUCUCAUAUCCCUGGGAUAUUUAUGACAUGUUCGCCUAAUUCCCCAUGGUAGCUAAUCUCACUUCUCUACCUUAAAAAUAUUAAAAUAUCUUUAAAGCAAGACUGGUAAAAAGGCAACUUUUACAGCCAAUCUUCAGCUCCAAUUGCUCCUGCUGAGGAAGUCAUAAUGAUGAAUUUGUGACAUAAUUUCUGCGGCAACAUGCUGGGAUUUCAUAAAUGGGGAUGGUGAUUAUAGAGCAGGAUCAGGUGAAGCAGGAUUGUGAUGGAAAAAGCCUUGAUUCAAAUGCAAAUUGUUCAAUAAUGGCAUAGGGGAUACCAGAAAUUACUGGCAAUUUAUUUUAUUUGGGUUAAGCUCCUCAUUCAGUCUUCUCCGGUCGGAAAGUCACUCUUUUAAGGAAACAAGCAAAAGAAAUGGCUAGAAAACAAAUCUCUCUCUCUUGAGAGAAUGAAAUUGUUCUAAUUCACUAAUAAUUAAUCUGUUAGUGUAAUUGUCAUUAAUGUUUAGCAUUUCUAUGACUCAUCCUAUUGAAGACUCUCCAAGUGCUUCGCAGACCCUAAUUGAUUCCACCUUCCCUGGAGCAGGAUCCCAUAAUCUACCCCAAUUUCUGGAGACAGCGAGAAGCACGGGCUAGGCACAGAGGCUAAAUGAUUUUCCCAGGGUUGGACCGGGAGCUGGAGUUCAGGUCUACACUUCAUAGACCAGCCUCUACCUAGCUGGGCUUCGGCAGCCGGACGGUGAAUGCUGGCACCACGAGGUGAUGUGAUGCUGGUUGCAGCCUUGGAGCAAAUCUGGCAGCGUUCUGCUGUCUGGCACGAGGAGAGAAAGCUGGUGCAGCUGCCACCAGCCUCAUGGGCACGUGUCAGCAGUGUCACCAGCAGAACUGGCUGCUAGUUGGUUAUUCUUUAUGACAUUAGAAGCAAGCUGGCUUGUUUGGGGUGGCUUUUUUUUUUUUUUUUUUUUUUUUUUUUUCCAAAAUAGCUUGGAAUUUAAACUUUUUAGCUAAGGAUUAAACUAAUUGCUUCUGCAAAAUGCUGUUCCCACACCAUCUAGUGCGCAUCUGUUAAGUGGGGAGGGAUAACUGAACCAGUUGCCAGAUGGUCCCCUGGAUUUGAGUGGCCAGGAGCCAAGGAGCUGCCAGUUGGCGGUUUGUGGGGUUCUAGCAAAGAAGUCACGCUACGUGCACAUUCCCCUCGGUUACUCCUUUCUGCCUUAAUGAAGAUACUGUCUAAUGCAAUAAAGCAGCCAUUAGCCUCCUCCCUGCCCUCCCC